rnacentral:misc_RNA from 1 species
GGAAGGAAAAGUCGUAACAAGGUCUCCGUUGGUGAGCCAGCGGAGGGAUCAUUACCGAGUUUACAACUCCCAAACCCAAUGUGAACCAUACCAAACUGUUGCCUCGGCGGGGUCACGCCCCGGGUGCGUCGCAGCCCCGGAACCAGGCGCCCGCCGGAGGGACCAACCAAACUCUUUCUGUAGUCCCCUCGCGGACGUUAUUUUUACAGCUCUGAGCAAAAAUUCAAAAUGAAUCAAAACUUUCAACAACGGAUCUCUUGGUUCUG